UAUUUUAGAACUUCCCGCCGAUAGAUGUACGCGUUCUGAUUACAAAAGCUGCAGAAUUAGCUUCGAGGAAACACAAAAAUACAUUUGUAAGGAGUGGAGUGAGUACACUGUGAAAGCCAGCGGACAAUUAAGUAUUUUAAAAAUAUUUUUCAGUACAUUUUUACCUAGUCGUUUUUUCAAAAGAAACAAGCACCAAAUUUUGUACUGUUUUCUUUCUGUGAGUUACCAGGGCAAAUUAAAACAUUUCAAUUACUUCUACUCAAAAUUUAACUUUUAGAUCUGAUUUUUAAGGCUUACCUUAUUAUCAUGGAAUCAUAACUAUUAUUCUUAUUAAAUUCACUAGUUUAGAGGUCCGCUUGA